rfam:Paucibacter sp. KCTC 42545, complete genome.
CAGCGUUCUCAGGGCGGGGUGGAAUUCCCCACCGGCGGUAUCCGUGUUCUGCACGGGAGCCCGCGAGCGCCCGCAGCUGGCUUCGGCUGUCUGCGGGGUCAGCAGAUCUGGUGCGAUGCCAGAGCCGACGGUCAUAGUCCGGAUGAAAGAGAAACGCGU